rnacentral:RNase_P_RNA from 1 species
UGAGGAAGACAGGCAAUCGCGAGCUGCAAAGCUCGAGGAAAGUCCGAACUCCAGAGAGCAGGAUGCUGGCUAACGGCCAGUGAGGGUGACCUCAAGGAAAGUGCCACAGAAACAUACCGCCUGACAACACCACUGCACCACAACAUGUUGUCAGGUAAGGGCGAAAUGGUGAGGUAAGAGCUCACC